rnacentral:rRNA from 1 species
CUACGGGAGGCAGCAGUCGAGAAUUUUUCUCAAUGGGGGAAACCCUGAAGGAGCGACGCCGCGUGGAGGAUGAAGGCUUUCGGGUUGUAAACUCCUGUCAUUUGAGAACAAGGUGCACAUGUUAACUGCAUGUGUUUUGAUAGUAUCAGAAGAGGAAGGGACGGGUAACUCUGUGCCAGCAGACGGGGUAAUACAGAGGUCCCAAGGGUUGGUCGGAUUCAUUGGGCGUAAAGGGUGCGUAGGGGGGGGCAUAAGUCGGGUGGGAAAUCUCGGGGGUUAAACUCGAAAAUGGAUUCGAUACUGUGGUGGUUGAGGACUGGAGAGGAGAAUGGAAUUUACGGGGGAGCAGUGAAAUGGGUAGAGAUCGGAAGGGAGAACAGUGGCGAAGGCGGGUCUCUGGACAGGUCCUGACACUGAGGGACGAAGGCCAGGGGAGCAAACGGGAUUAGAUACCCCGGUAGUCCUGGGAGUAAAAGGGGCACGUUUGGUGUGGGAGGAUUCCAACCCUUCUGCGGCGGAGCUAACGCGUUAAACGUGGCGCUGGGGAGUCCGUUCCCAAGAUUAACACUCAAAGAAAUUGCCGGGGCCCCCCACAAGCGGUGAAGUAUGUG